UACGUAGGUGGCAAGCGUUGUCCGGAUUUACUGGGCGUAAAGGAUGCGUAGGCGGAUAUUUAAGUCAGAUGUGAAAUUCCCGGGCUCAACUUGGGAGCUGCAUUUGAAACUGGAUAUCUAGAGUGCGGGAGAGGAGAGUGGAAUUCCUAGUGUAGCGGUGAAAUGCGUAGAGAUUAGGAAGAACACCAGUGGCGAAGGUGACUCUCUGGACCGUAACUGACGCUGAGGCAUGAAAGCGUGGGGAGCAAACAGG
rnacentral:rRNA from 1 species